rnacentral:rRNA from 1 species
CUCUAGCAUGAACAGUAUUAGAGGCCCUGCCUGCCCAGUGACAUAAGCUUAAACGGCCGCGGUAUCCUGACCGUGCAAAGGUAGCAUAAUCACUUGUUCCUUAAAUAGGGACUAGUAUGAACGGCUUAACGAGGGUUUAACUGUCUCUUACUUUCAAUCAGUGAAAUUGACCUCCCCGUGAAGAGGCGGGGCUGAACAAAUAAGACGAGAAGACCCUAUGGAGCUUAAAUUUAUUAGUCUGCCCUGUAAGCAUAACAAAUCUACGGACACAUCAUUUAUACCACCAGACUAAGAAUUUCGGUUGGGGUGACCUCGGAGCAUAAAUCAACCUCCGAAUGAUACUAACCUAGACACACACGUCUAAGUCAAAAUUCAUAAAUUGACCCAAAUUAUUUGAUCAAUGGAACAAGUUACCCUAGGGAUAACAGCGCAAUCCUACUUAAGAGUCCAUAUCGACAGUUAGGGUUUACGACCUCGAUGUUGGAUCAGGACACCCAAAUGGUGCAGCCGCUAUUAAUGGUUCGUUUGUUCAACGAUUAAAGUC